GGGGGAGAGCUGGAGACAAAGGAGCUACAGAUCUGAAUACCCAGUGAGCUUGGAGCCAUGCGGUUGUCAUGCACUAAACUAAAUAUGGAAUUGACCAGGUGACCCUUUGAAGGUAAAGGAUGGCGAGUUUCUGACAACUGGCUGGGGCCAGGAGAAC